AUUGAACGCUGGCGGCAUGCCUUACACAUGCAAGUCGAACGCGAAAGGGGGCAACCCCGAGUAGAGUGGCGAACGGGUGAGCAAUACAUCGGAACAUUUCCUGUAGCGGGGGACAACCUCGAGAAAUCGAGGCUAAUACCGCAUACGAUCUACGGAUGAAAGUGGGGGACCGCAAGGCCUCACACUAUAGGAGUGGCCGAUGCCGGAUUAGCUAGUUGGUGGGGUAACGGCCUACCAAGGCGACGAUCCGUAGCUGGUUUGAGAGAACGACCAGCCACACUGGGACUGAGACACGGCCCAGACUCCUACGGGAGGCAGCAGUGGGGAAUUUUGGACAAUGGGCGAAAGCCUGAUCCAGCCAUGCCGCGUGAGUGAAGAAGGCCUUCGGGUUGUAAAGCUCUUUCGGCGGGGACGAAAUGGCGCGGACGAACAUUCCGCGUCGAUGACGGUACCCGAAGAAGAAGGACCGGCUAACUACGUGC
rnacentral:rRNA from 1 species